GGAGGAGUCGCAUAGAGGCCCAUUGCGAGGGGUUGCUAACCCCUUGAGCUAUAAAAGGCUCGCGUGAGUUCGAAUCUCACCUCCUCCGCCA
rnacentral:tRNA from 1 species